rnacentral:rRNA from 1 species
UACGAAGGGGGCUAGCGUUGCUCGGAAUCACUGGGCGUAAAGGGUGCGUAGGCGGGUCUUUAAGUCAGGGGUGAAAUCCUGGAGCUCAACUCCAGAACUGCCCUUUGAUACUGAGGAUCUUGAGUUCGGGAGAGGUGAGUGGAACUGCGAGUGUAGAGGUGAAAUUCGUAGAUAUCGAGAGGAACACCUGCGGCGAAGGCGGGUUGCUGGGCUGACACUGACGCUGAGGCGCGAAAGCUAGGGGAGCGAACGGG